AUUGAACGCUGGCGGCAGGCUUAACACAUGCAAGUCGAGCGGGGUGAUGGUGCUUGCACUAUCACUUAGCGGCGGACGGGUGAGUAAUGCUUAGGAAUCUGCCUAUUAGUGGGGACAACAUCUCGAAAGGGAUGCUAAUACCGCAUACGUCCUACGGGAGAAAGCAGGGGAUCACUUGUGACCUUGCGCUAAUAGAUGAGCCUAAGUCGGAUUAGCUAGUUGGUGGGGUAAAGGCCUACCAAGGCGACGAUCUGUAGCGGGUCUGAGAGGAUGAUCCGCCACACUGGGACUGAGACACGGCCCAGACUCCUACGGGAGGCAGCAGUGGGGAAUAUUGGACAAUGGGGGGAACCCUGAUCCAGCCAUGCCGCGUGUGUGAAGAAGGCCUUAUGGUUGUAAAGCACUUUAAGCGAGGAGGAGGCUCUUUUGGUUAAUACCCAAGAUGAGUGAACGUUACUCGCAGAAUAAGCACCGGCUAACUCUGUGCCAGCCGCCGCAGUAA
rnacentral:rRNA from 1 species